GCUAAGUUGGAGGUUUCCUUUUGGCUGAGAGAGAGAGAGAGAGACAGAGAGAGAGAGAGAGAGAGUUCAUCUUUUUUUUUCAUCUUGGAAACCUAAGUCGAAUUCUUUCUUCCUCACCCCCAAACACUACAUUCUCUUCAUCUUUUGCUCUUUCUCUCUUCACAAAAGAGUUAGGCAUUGACUUAAGCUUGAUGAUGUUUGUUUUCUUCCUAAAAAAUGGGCUUUCUUGGCCUUUUAUUUCGCUUAAAACUAUUUAUGGUUUUUGUCAAUGUUGUUAGGCAUCUCUUUAGCUUCAUGGAAAUUUAAUUGGUUCUAUGAGAAGUUAAAUUUGUCAUGUUAGAGAAAUUUGAAAAUUGCUUUUGAACUUGCUUUUGUUGAAGUGGUAGCUCGGGAGGAGAGUUUUCAAGCCAUGUUUGAAACCCUUGUUUGACUCUACUCUAGAAGCUUUGAGCAGAAAGGAAAGCAAUCGAGGUCUCUGGGAUGGAUCCAGUGGGCGGUGGCUCCAGCGCAACAGCACUAUGGAGGGCCAACGCAGCAACAUUGAGCCUCAGACUUCUAGCGCGGCAGCGCUAGGGGGCCAGCACAGCAGCGCUGAGCCCCUUCCUUCCCUGCGUUGGUGGAUGCUUUAAAGGCAAGAUCGGGGCUGCUUUGGGGUAUUUUUGGGUGUAGUAUGUGACUUCGAAUGUUUUGAAUGAUAUACAUGAAAUAUAUGAGUUAAGAAUUCUUGAUUGACAUAAAGAUUAAAUAUGAUUGAUAUGACUUAUGAGUUGAUUAUAUGUCCUUAAAGUAAUGAAGUGUGACAUUUUUAACUCUGAUGAGAUGUAUGCUGAUUACAUGCUCUUGAAAUGUAAAUCAGAUGAUGUUUGAUAGAUUAUAAAUGCCUUAUAUUGAUGGAGGAUGAUACACACUUGAGCUCUACGCUUGUUGGAUUAACAUAAUGAUUAAGCAUGUAUAUGAUGAUCGAUGAGUUGAUUAUAUGUUCUUGAAGUUGUGAAUCACAUUAUGAUUGAUGGGUGUGGCAUGUUUCUUUAUCUUAUAAAGUAUAUGAUGAUUAUAUUCUCUUGAGUUGUGAAUCAUAUGGUGAUCAGUGGAGGAUGAAUGUUACAGCUCCUGGAUCAUGAGGACUGCUUCUCGAGUCGGGUAGCCUUGGACAAGUGUUAUUAUAUGAGUUAGAGCAAUGUCAUUCAGUCUUAACUCGGAUGAGAUGUUCCUUAUCUAAGUCAUCUUGUCUGCCUCUAUGGUCUUUGUUCUGGUCUAAGGUCUAUUAAGGUGAUGAUCUAUGUCCUUAUCAAACCCUAACAGAG